CGCUCGGAUGUUCGCUAUCGUAGAUAUUUAAGUUCCGAGGUUUUCAACUUCCCACCACACACUGCACACUGAUGUCUGAUCCUGACCGAACAAUAUGGUGUGGCAAUGUCUCUGGUGAGGUGACAGAUGAAGUUCUGUAUGAAUUAUUCUUACAGGCGGGACCACUGGAAAGGGUGCGCCGGCCGCGGGACCAGAGGACGGGCGAUCCGCGCCCCUUCGCCUUCGUCACCUACGAGGACGAGGAGUCGGUGCCGUACGCGCUCGAGCUGUACCGCGACACCAAGCUGUUCGGUCGAGUGCUCCGACUGCAGGCGCAAGGCGGCCAGCAGCAUGACAAGCAGCAGCUGGCGUCGAACGGUCGCCCCGUCCGGCGCUUGAUCGAGUCCGGCGGAGGAGCCCGGGCAGAACGCGCCGACCAUAGGCACAGCGACCGGACAGCGGGUCGCUUUAGUGAACGCGGGUCGGAGAGACACAGCGUCCGCCGUCCCGACCGCCACACUGACCGCGGUACGGAG